GAUGAACGCUGGCGGCGUGCCUAUACAUGCCAGUCGAGCGCACAGACGAGGAGCUUGCUCCUCUGACGUUAGCGGCGGACGGGUGAGUAACACGUGGAUAACCUACCUAUAAGACUGGGAUAACUUCGGGAAACCGGAGCUAAUACCGGAUAAUAUAUUGAACCGCAUGGUUCAAUAGUGAAAGACGGUUUUGCUGUCACUUAUAGAUGGAUCCGCGCCGCAUUAGCUAGUUGGUAAGGUAACGGCUUACCAAGGCAACGAUGCGUAGCCGACCUGAGAGGGUGAUCGGCCACACUGGAACUGAGACACGGUCCAGACUCCUACGGGAGGCAGCAGUAGGGAAUCUUCCGCAAUGGGCGAAAGCCUGACGGAGCAACGCCGCGUGAGUGAUGAAGGUCUUCGGAUCGUAAAACUCUGUUAUUAGGGAAGAACAAAUGUGUAAGUAACUAUGCACGUCUUGACGGUACCUAAUCAGAAAGCCACGGCUAACUACGUG
rnacentral:rRNA from 1 species